GCGUUGGUGGUUUAGUGGUAAAAUUGAUCGUUGCCAUGCAUCUUUGCAUUCUCGAUCAGCCCCGGGUUCGAUUCCCGGCCGACGCA